rnacentral:rRNA from 1 species
UACGUAGGGGGCAAGCGUUAUCCGGAUCUACUGGGUGUAAAGGGAGCGUAGACGGAAUUGCAAGUCUGAUGUGAAAAUCCGGGGCCCAACCCCGGAACUGCAUUGGAAACUGUAUUUCUAGAGUGUCGGAGAGGCAAGUGGAAUUCCUGGUGUAGCGGUGAAAUGCGUAGAUAUCAGGAGGAACACCAGUGGCGAAGGCGGCUUGCUGGACGAUGACUGACGCUGAGGCGCGAAAGCGUGGGGAGCAAACAGG